rnacentral:rRNA from 1 species
CGUCUAUAUACGUAUAGCAUAUCAAUAAGCGGAGGAAAAGAAACUAACAAGGAUUCCCUUAGUAACGGCGAGUGAAGCGGGAAGAGCUCAAAUUUGAAAUCUUCAAGGUUCUACCUUGACGAAUUGUAGUUUAUAGAAGUGUUUUCUGUUAGUGGAGUGGCAAAAGUUCUUUGGAAUAGGACAUCAUAGAGGGUGAGAAUCCCGUAUUUGGUCAUUCCUCCUAGCGUUGUGAUACACUUUCAAAGAGUCGGAUUGUUUGGGAAUGCAGUCCAAAAUGGGUGGUAAAUUUCAUCUAAAGCUAAAUAUUGGCGAGAGACCGAUAGCGAACAAGUACCGUGAGGGAAAGAUGAAAAGAACUUUGAAAAGAGAGUUAAACAGUACGUGAAAUUGUCAAAAGGGAAGCGUUUGACACCAGUGUUGUUUUAGUUGAAAAUCAAUUCAAUAGUUUUUGAUUCUAAGUAGUAUUGACUUCAUCAGCUUGCUGCUUUCUUCUCAGAAAUUAUUGAAUGCACUUUUCAGUUAACAAGUCAACAUCAAUUUCUUUUGUUGUAAAAGGGUAAGAGGAAGGUGGCUUGCGCUUCGGCUCAAGUGUUUAUAGCCUUUUAUCUCUGCAAUCGGAGAGAUUGAGGUCUGCAGCGUAGAUCCUUCGGGGUUAGAUACAUUGGUGCUAAGCUAUAGCCUUGUAUAGACAACUUGUUGACUAUGCUCAGUCAUGUAGCUUACUCGCUGAUGCUAUUUUACCUACGCUUAGGAUGUUGAAGAUAUGCGCGACACG